rnacentral:rRNA from 1 species
CCUACGGGAGGCUGCAGUGGGGGAUAUUGCACAAUGGGGGGAACCCUGAUGCAGCGAAGCCGCGUGGGUGAAGAAGGGCCUCGGCGCGUAAAGCCCUGUCAGCAGGGAAGAAAAUGACGGUACCUGAAGAAGAAGCCCCGGCUAACUACGUGCCAGCAGCCGCGGUAAUACGUAGGGGGCAAGCGUUAUCCGGAUUUACUGGGUGUAAAGGGGGCGCAGGCGGCGUUGCAAGCCAGGAGUGAACGCCCGGGGCCCAACCCCGGGACUGCUCUUGGAACUGCGUGGCUUGAGUGCAGGAGAGGCAGGCGGAAUUCCUGGUGUAGCGGUGAAAUGCGUAGAUAUCAGGAAGAACACCGAUUGCGAAGGCAGCCUGCUGGACUGCAACUGACGUUGAGGCCCGAAAGCGUGGGGAGCAAACAGGAUUAGAUACCCUUGUAGUC